rnacentral:misc_RNA from 1 species
UACUGCAGCUGUGGGCGAAGGUGAAGUUCAAGAUGGGGUUGGUCUUAACAGUUCCCCUAGGGUAGAAGAGGGAUCGGCCAUCAAUGUCACCACUGUGGGAACUAAAAUUACAGUAACUGAAACUGUGAUAUCUGAAGUAGUGUCAGGUGUGGAAGGUUUGCCGAACAUGGAAAGCAAGGAUAACGAGGAUUCAAAAGUCCAGUCGGAGAUUGAGGAAUCGAGGCCCCAGCUGGAUAGUGAGGAGUCAAAGCACCAGCUGGAUAGUGAGGAUUCAAAGCCCCAGCUGGAUAGUGA